UAAGUCAAUGCAAUUGUUUGUUGAAGUUUUCGGUGCAGUGCAGUUGUGCUAUAUAAGACUUAAGAAAGCACAAAGAAGUCAGCAGUUUGACAAAGUUCAUUUGAUUGACAAAAUGAAAUUCUCUACUAUAUUCUUCUUUAUCGCUUUCAUGGUCGUCCUUGUUAAUGGUCAACGAGGAUUUGGCCGUCGAGGACGAGGAAGAUUUGGUGGACGUUCAGGCAGAUCUUGCACAAGGUCAACCACUACAACUGUUGCGUCCGGAUAAAGUUCUGUGGGAGCGUCAGUUUUUUUUUAAAUAUGCAUUAUGAGAUCUGAAUGUCAAAUAAAUUAAAACUGAAGGAGUUUCAAUAAAACCGUAUAUUUUUGUCCGCUUAAAACA